UACAGAGGUCUCAAGCGUUGUUCGGAUUUAUUGGGCGUAAAGAGCUCGUAGGCGGUUUGUCGCGUCUGCUGUGAAAACUCGGGGCUUAACUCCGGGCCUGCAGUGGGUACGGGCAGACUAGAGUGCGGUAGGGGAGACUGGAAUUCCUGGUGUAGCGGUGAAAUGCGCAGAUAUCAGGAGGAACACCGGUGGCGAAGGCGGGUCUCUGGGCCGUAACUGACGCUGAGGAGCGAAAGCGUGGGGAGCGAACAGG
rnacentral:rRNA from 1 species